rnacentral:rRNA from 1 species
CAGAGACCGAUAGCGCACAAGUAGAGUGAUCGAAAGAUGAAAAGCACUUUGGAAAGAGAGUUAAAAAGUACGUGAAAUUGUUGAAAGGGAAGCGCUUGCAACCAGACUUGUCCGCAGUUGCUCAGCCGGUCUCCUGACCGGCGUACUCUUCUGCGGCCAGGCCAGCAUCAGUUCGGGCGGUCGGAUAAAGACCUCGGGAAUGUAGCUUCCUUCGGGGAGUGUUAUAGCCCGGGGUGGAAUGCGGCCAGCCUGGACUGAGGAACUCGCUUCGGCUAGGAUGCUGGCGUAAUGGUUGUAAGCGGCCCGUCUUGAAACACGGACCAAGGAGUCUAACAUCUAUGCGAGUGUUUGGGUGUCAAACCCAUACGCGAAAUGAAAGUGAACGGAGGUGGGAACCCCUCACGGGGUGCACCAUCGGCCGAUCCUGAUGUCUUCGGAUGGAUUUGAGCAAGAGCAUAGCUGUUGGGACCCGAAAGAUGGUGAACUAUACCUGAAUAGGGUGAAGCCAGAGGAAACUCUGGUGGAGGCUCGCAGCGGUUCUGACGUGCAAAUCGAUCGU